rnacentral:rRNA from 1 species
AAUGAACGCUGGCGGUAUGCCUAACACAUGCAAGUCGAACGACACCUCCGUAUGUGCUUGCUCUUACGUGUGUCGCGUGUCGGACGGUUCCCGUAUGCUUCGAAUUCUUCCUUUUCGUGGGGGAUAAUGUAGGGUAAUUUCCGCUAAUCCCGCAUUCAUCGUCCUUGUAUGAGCACGCGAUCGUCUAGCCUUUUGCUAUUGUAUGAGCCUAUGUCGGCUUCGCUCGUUGGCUGGUCUAAGGCCAAACACGGCGACGCUCCGUAGCUGGUCUGAGAGGAUGAUCAGACACACUGGAACUGAGACACGGUACAGACUCCUACGGGAGGCAGCAGUGGGGAAUAUUGGACAAGGGGCGCAAGCCUGAUACAGCCAUACCGCGUGAGUGAAGAAGGACUACGGGUGGUAAAGCGAUGUUGUUGGGAAAGAAAAGCAGCAGGUUAAUACCCCACUGUAAUGACGGUACCAAAAGAAUAAGCACCGGCUAACUUCGUG